GAUGAACGCUAGCGGGAGGCCUAACACAUGCAAGCCGAGCGGUAUUUGUUCUUCGGAACAGAGAGAGCGGCGCACGGGUGCGGAACACGUGUGCAACCUGCCUUUAUCUGGGGGAUAGCCUUUCGAAAGGAAGAUUAAUACCCCAUAAUAUAUUGAGUGGCAUCAUUUGAUAUUGAAAACUCCGGUGGAUAGAGAUGGGCACGCGCAAGAUUAGAUAGUUGGUGAGGUAACGGCUCACCAAGUCAAUGAUCUUUAGGGGGCCUGAGAGGGUGAUCCCCCAGACUGGUACUGAGACACGGACCAGACUCCUACGGGAGGCAGCAGUGAGGAAUAUUGGACAAUGGGUUAGCGCCUGAUCCAGCCAUCCCGCGUGAAGGACGACGGCCCUAGGGGUUGUAAACUUCUUUUGUAUAGGGAUAAACCUACUCUCGUGAGAGUAGCUGAAGGUACUAUACGAAUAAGCACCGGCUAACUCCGUG
rnacentral:rRNA from 1 species